CAGAUAACACACGCUUUGUUUACACACGUAUAUAACAAGUGUAAUGCGUAUAGUAUCAGCUACACGUAUGUAACCUGUAUGUACCUGCAUGUUGUCCUGGGUGUUUCCUGAUGUUUGACCAUAACGUCUAGUGAGGAGGAAUUACCGCAGAUAACACAUUCAGAUGGCAGCUAUUUACUGUCAGACGCUUGAGCUUGUGUUCAUGGUGUGGAGUUCAACUGAACCCUUUUCUCAGAAAGCUGACGGGGAAGCUGAGGCGAUUCUGUGUGUGUGUGUGUGUGUGUGUGUCUGUCUGUCUGUCUGUCUGUGUGUGUGAGUGUGUCUGUCUGUGUAUCUGUCUGUCUGUCUGUGUGAGUGUGUCUGUCUGUGUAUCUGUCUGUCUGUCUGUGUGAGUGUGUCUGUGAGUGUGUGUGAGAGUGUGUCUGUCUGUCUGUCUGUCUGUGUGAGUGUGUCUGUCUGUCUGUGUGAGUGUGUCUGUGUGUGUGUGUGUGUCUGUAUGUGUGUGUGUGUCUGUCUGUCUGUCUGUGUGAGUGUGUCUGUCUGUCUGUGUGAGUGUGUGUGUGUGUGUGUGUGUCUGUAUGUGUGUGUGUGUCUGUCUGUCUGUCUGUGUGAGUGUGUCUGUGUUUGUGUGUGUGUGUGUGUGUGUGUGUGUCUGUAUGUGUGUGUGUGUCUGUCUGUCUGUCUGUGUGAGUGUGUCUGUCUGUCUGUCUGUGUGAGUGUGUCUGUGUUUGUGUGUGUGUGUCUGUAUGUGUGUGUGUGUCUGUCUGUCUGUCUGUGUGUGUGUGUGUGUGUGUGUGUGUGUGUAUCUGUGUGUGUGUGUGUGUAUCUGUGUGUGAGUGUGUGUGUGUGUGUGUGUGUGUGUGUGUGUGUGUGUGGGCAGGUUUAAGUGGUUUACGAGGACUUUUUUUUAGGUUAUAAACUGGUAAUUACAAGGGUAUUAUGCUAUAAAUGUGGUUUAUGAGGACAUUUCUAGUGUCCCCAUAAUUCAAAUCACUUAAUAAACAUACUAAACGAUGUUUUAUUGAAAAUGUAAAAAUGCAGAAAGUUUUUUGUGAGGGUUAGGUUUAAGGGCAGGGUUAGGGUUAGGGGAUAGAAUCUAUAGUUUGUACAGUAUGAAAAUCAUUAUGUCUAUGGAGAGUCCUCAUAAUGAUAGCUGAACCAACAUGAGUGUGUGUGUGUGUGAGUGAGAGAGAGUGUGUGUAUGUGUGUGUGUGUGUGUAUGAGUGUGUUUGUGAGUGUGUGUGAGUGAGAGAGAGAGAGAGAGAGAGAGAGAGAGAGCGUGUGUGUGUGUGUGUGUGUGUGUGUGUGUGUGUGUGUGUGUGUGUGUGUGUGUGUGUGUGAUAUUACUACCAUCACUCGUUUUGCUAACAUUAGUGCUCAUGAGAAAGUACAGAGAUGAUUUGUGUCUAAAAUUAGAACCCGUUCUUUAUGAAGCCCUCAGGACAUUAAUGGGGAAAUGAAGAAAACAGCCAUGUCUGAUGGUGAAAUCACACACUCUGGAUAUGCAGAAGCCGCUGGUUGUAUUGAUUGGCCCGUGGCCAUGGAGACGCUGUUGUGAUGCAGAAGAUGCGUUUGAUAGACGCCCACUCGCCUUUAACUGAAGAUCUUCAACAGCAAUCGUGUCGAGAUGAAACAGGCAGAUGCUUGUGGUGGCAUUAGGUGCCAUUCUGUGUAUUGAAGUAAAAUUUGUAAGUCGUGCCAAUUUCUCCAGUGGGUAAUACUGUAGUUUGUAAGAGCUUUUCCUAAUGAGAGCCGUCAGUCUUCUGCGUUGUGGGAACAGGGUGAGAUUUGAUGCUGGCCUGAUGAAAAUCUCUUGUGUAUGAGCUGAAGGUGAUGGAUGAAAUGAGGCCUACACCGCUGAGUGUCUAAUCCUCUGAAUUACUGCUGGUGAAUCGUCAUCUAUUUGCAUUCUACAAAUUCACAAAAGUGCAUUUAUGUCAUGAGCAUUUCCUGCGUCUGUCUGAGCUUCAGGCAAACUCACAGCACAUUUGAGGCAAAGAUAAUAAAAAAAAGCUUCAUUUGAUUAGCCACAACAUUCUGCUGGCUUACAGGCAAACACACUUCAAAUUAGAGAGGACUUCUGGUUCUGUACAUUCUGAGCCUCUUUGAUACAUAAGCUACUAUAAAUGUAAUGUAUGUAUUGUUCUCUCACUGUGAAGGUUUUCUCAGCAGUUUUUCUCUUCUUCUGUGACUAUAAUAAUUGUACAUCACGUCACACGGGUCAUAAUGAUACAGCUGUCAUCCUGGUGUUUGUGGGUUUGUCUGUGUUUGUUUGGGUGCCUGUUACCAGGUUAAAAUAUAUGUUGCAAACUUGCAAUAGCAAGAAUUUGCAGAAGACUCAUAAUUACUGUCAAAGUAACGUAAUUUUUCACAACACUGUCAAUGACAAGUUUACUCAAAGAGAGCACACUUUUAGCAUUUUUUUGGCAUAACCACGCACCCUUUAGAGGUCUCCGGUCUGCAGAUAUACCUACUUGGUUUGUCUCAGGCAAGUGAUUGCUGUGCUAGUUUCAUGUCUCUCGUGUCACUCCAUACUCUUUAUUCCCACAUCAACAAAUCAUUUACACUCAAAUGUCCGUAAUAUUUAAUGUCCAUUUUUUUAUUUGCAUGGUAGUUGUGUAAUAAUCGGGAUACAGUUAGACUGUACAUGAUCACUUACAUAGCGUGUAGAGGUGGUGUGGUGUCGCAGCUAAAGCUCGAAUCAAUAUUUCAUAUCUAUUUAUUGAUUUGUAUCGGGGUCUUGAUCAACCAGUCAGGGUUUAUUUUCUCUGACUGUACAUUACUGUUAGUGAGUUGGCAGGGCCGGAUUAAGACUCCAGCGUGCCCCUGGGCAUGAAUUUAUGUACACGUCACUGGACUUCCUGUUCCUGUUGCUGACGGCAUGCUGCACGAGUGUUUGUAGCCUGCUUAGCAUUGCUUAUUCUUAUUCUCAUACGUUCGUCUUUUUAACCUUUGUCAUUUUACCACGUGUUUAGGGUUUUUCCACUUUUCUACAGUUUCAUCUGUGUGUAUUGUACCUGUUGCUGCUGGCGUCUAGCUCGAGUCUGUGUUUGUAGCCUGCUAGUUUUUUUUUAGCAUCGCUUAUCUAUCUAUUUUCAGCCUUUUAAUCCUUAACAUCUGCCAUUUUUCAGCACGCAUCAGGUUUUCCCCUGCCUUAUUUUCUUCAACUGCAUGCAUUUCCCACGUGCAUCCGCUUUCUAUAUUUAUCACGAUUAAACUGCGCGCAUUUUACAGCGCGCACCCAUUUUUCUCCUCUGUGUUACACGGAUUAUUGCAUCGAUCUCAAAGCACCGCUUAUCAAGAACAACCAUAACAACAAACAAUUGCGUGAGGGAUUCUCAUCGAUCUCAAACCCUUACCACUCAGGAACAACCAACAACAACAACAAACAACUGCGAUCCAGCUCCGUUCCUGCUUGGUGUCGGACUCCACUGCUACGUAUCACUGUGUGAUGACGACUAAUAGUAGCCGGUGCUAGCCAAACAUCACUUCAGUCUUUUACAGUGGACUUCAGAGGAUGAACUGAUGCCAACUCCAACUGUAAGACAUGGGAUACUUCAUAUGCCACUGCCUGAACCUUGGACUUAGGAUGGACCUCACCGAACCUCACCGAAAUGACCUGCCGGUUGAACUGCGAUACACCUCAUUGAUCUCUGCCUGCAUCACCUUUGUCUAAUGAUGGACGACACUCUUAUAAUGGAAUACAUAGACUAUCAAUUAAUUGCCAAUAAAAGCCUUCAUCAGCCGACUAACAAAGGACAAUGCUUCUAUGUGAACUUCUGCAGUUAAUCCAGAAUGAACUUCAAAGACAUUAGUCAUUAAUCUUACAGUUCAUACAGUUUAAACACGGGCCCUUAACACUUACUUAGUUUACUAAUCUUGAACCAUGACCUGCACUGCACAUAAAUAACUAAUAUUGUCAUUAUAUUCAUGAUGUUUAGUCAGAGGGGAACUGACCCCCACAGUGAGUCUGGUUUCUCUCAAGGUUAUUUUUCUCCAUUAAUCAACAUCUUAUGGAGUUUUGUGUUCCUUGCCACAGUCGCCUUCAGCUUGCUCACUGGAGUUAUAAAUGCAAUUAUUAUUUCAUCAUUUAAUUACUUAUUUUUAAACAGAAUUCACAAUCAUAUUUUAUCAAACUACACAAUGAUGACUCUAAGACAUUAUAGAUAUUACAGUUUUAUCUUCUGUUAAUGUAUGAUCUUCUGUAAAGCUGCUUUGAAACGAUGUGUGUUGUGAAAGGCGCUAUACAAAUAAAAAUUACUUGAGAUGUAGUAAAACCGAAUCCUCCAUUCAUCUACAUUUAAAUCUAAGAAUAUUUUAUUUCUCAUUGGAGAUUAUUUUACGCUGGAUAGUAAUUUUAAUAAAAACAGAUAAAUUCAAGGAUUCAUGCCUGUGAAUGUAAAUCCGCUUCAGCAGAAUCUAUAAAAGUAUUCAUAAAAUCCUCAUCCAGUAAGAAUAAAUGUCUGUGAUUGGUCCAUACUAUUCAGCGCUGAGAAAAGGAACAUGUACCAUGCGACAGCACCAUCUAUGUGCCGUUUUGAUAGCGGUCCGGACCUCUGGAUAAUCAGUUACACCUGAAUAAUGAUACUCAAAAACUUUAACAAACAUUAAAUUGGGGGUCUGGGUAGCUCAGCAAGUACUGACGCUGACUCCCACCCCUGGAGUCACGAGUUUGAAUCCAGGGUGUGCUGAGUGACUCCAGCCAGGUCUCCUAAGCAACCAAAUUGGCCCGGUUGCUAGGGAGGGUAGAGUCACAUGGGGUAACCUCCUCGUGGUCGUGAUUAGUGGUUCUCGCUCUCAAUGGGGCGUGUGGUGAGUUGUGUGUGGAUCGUGGAGAGUAGCAUGAGCCUCCACAUGCUGUGAGUCUCCGCGGUGUCAUGCACAACGAGUCACGUGAUAAGAUGCACGGAUUGACGGUCUCAGAAGCGGAGGCAACUGAGACUUGUCCUCCACCACCCGGAUUGAGGCGAGUAACUGCACCACCACGAGGACCUACUAAGUAGUGGGAAUUGGGCAUUCCAAAUUGGGAGAAAAGGGGAUAAAAAAAAAAAAAAAAAAAAAACAAAACAAACAAACAUCAAAUUAAAAAUGGACCUUUUUUUUUUACAAAUGCCAUCGUGUGGUGCCCCAC